GCUGAUCAGUGGACUCCGCCACCGAGUGGUUUCUGCAAGAUAAAUGUUGACGCGGCUGUAGCAAAAGCAUCGAGUAGAGGAGCGGUGACCGAUGUUUGUCGCGACGAUCAGGGUGUCUUUCAUGGCGCUUCGGUGGUGAUUUUUGAGGGCAUCAUAGAACCAGAGACGUUGGAGGCAUUGGCAUGUAGAGAAGCACGGGCGCUUGGCGGUGAUCUGCACUUAAAAAAACUUCAGAUAUCACUUGACUGUCUGAGAGGCAUCAGAGAGCUGCAGGCGACAACAAACUCCGGCGUUCAUUGUAUGAUCAUGAAGGCCCGGAAACUUCUUUUUCGCCAUGUGAUAUAUGCCAUGAACGGUGUGCGUGUAAUAAGGAGGCUCACAAUUUAG
rnacentral:rRNA from 1 species